GCCGAUGUAGCUCAGUCGGUAGAGCAACUGAUUCGUAAUUAGUAGGUCGCGGGUUCGAAUCCCGCCAUUGGCUCCA
rnacentral:tRNA from 1 species